rnacentral:rRNA from 1 species
AUUGAACGCUGGCGGCAUGCCUUACACAUGCAAGUCGAACGGUAACAGGUUAAGCUGACGAGUGGCGAACGGGUGAGUAAUACAUCGGGACGUGCCCAGUAGUGGGGGAUAGCCCGGAGAAAGCCGGAUUAAUACCGCAUACGACCUACGGGUGAAAGGGGGGGAUCGCAAGACCUCUCGCUAUUGGAGCGGCCGAUGUCAGAUUAGGGAGUUGGUGGGGUAAAGGCCUACCAAGCCUACGAUCUGUGGCUGGUCUGAGAGGACGACCAGCCACACUGGGACUGAGACACGGCCCAGACUCCUACGGGAGGCAGCAGUGGGGAAUUUUGGACAAUGGGCGCAAGCCUGAUCCAGCCAUGCCGCGUGCGGGAAGAAGGCCUUCGGGUUGUAAACCGCUUUUGUCAGGGAAGAAACGCUUCGGAAUAAUACUCUGAGGUAAUGACGGUACCUGAAGAAUAAGCACCGGCUAACUACGUGCCAGCCGCCGCCGUAAUAC